GACGAACGCUGGCGGCGUGCCUAAUACAUGCAAGUCGAACGAAGCUGUUUUAACUGGUGCUUGCACCGACUUAAACAACUGAGUGGCGAACGGGUGAGUAACACGUGGGUAACCUGCCCCAAAGCGGGGGAUAACAUUUGGAAACAGAUGCUAAUACCGCAUAACCACAGAAACCACAUGGUUUCUGUGUCAAAGAUGGUUUCGGCUAUCACUUUGGGAUGGACCCGCGGCGUAUUAGCUAGUUGGUAAGGUAAUGGCUUACCAAGGCAAUGAUACGUAGCCGAACUGAGAGGUUGAACGGCCACAUUGGGACUGAGACACGGGCCAAACUCCUACGGGGGGCAGCAGUAGGGAAUCUUCCACAAUGGACGAAAGUCUGAUGGAGCAACGCCGCGUGAGUGAAGAAGGUUUUCGGAUCGUAAAACUCUGUUGUCAGAGAAGAACGUGUGCGAGAGUAACUGUUCGUGCAGUGACGGUAUCUGGCCAGAAAGCCACGGCUAACUACGUGCCAGCAGCCGCCGUAA
rnacentral:rRNA from 1 species